rnacentral:rRNA from 1 species
UACGUAGGGUGCAAGCGUUGUCCGGAAUUAUUGGGCGUAAAGAGCUCGUAGGCGGUUUGUCGCGUCGAAUGUGAAAACCCGGGGCUCAACUCCGGGCCUGCAUUCGAUACGGGCAGACUAGAGUUCGGUAGGGGAGUCUGGAAUUCCUGGUGUAGCGGUGAAAUGCGCAGAUAUCAGGAGGAACACCGGUGGCGAAGGCGGGACUCUGGGCCGAUACUGACGCUGAGGAGCGAAAGUGUGGGGAGCGAACAGG